AGAGAGAGACAUGCGCGCAUAUCAAUAAGCGGAGGAAAAGAAACUAACAAGGAUUCCCCUAGUAACGGCGAGUGAAGCGGGAAGAGCUCAAAUUUGAAAUCUUAAAGGGUUUCCCUUUACGAAUUGUAGUUUAAAGAAGUGUUUUCUGUUGAGGUUUUGGUAAAAGUUCUUUGGAAUAGGACAUCAUAGAGGGUGAGAAUCCCGUAUUUGACCGUUACUUUCCAGCUUUGUGAUACACUUUCAAAGAGUCGGAUUGUUUGGGAAUGCAGUCCAAAAUGGGUGGUAAAUUUCAUCUAAAGCUAAAUAUUGGCGAGAGACCGAUAGCGAACAAGUACCGUGAGGGAAAGAUGAAAAGAACUUUGAAAAGAGAGUUAAACAGUACGUGAAAUUGUCAAAAGGGAAGCGUUUGACACCAGUGUUGUUUUUCUGAAAAUCAAUUAAAGAACUGUUUAUGCUAAGUUGUUUAGACUUUAUCAGCUAACUGUUUAGUUUUGAGCUUUUCUUUAAUGCACUUUUCAGUUAACAAGUCAACAUCAAUUUCUUUUGCUGUAAAAAAGCUUGAGGAAGGUGGCUUGAGAUUCGUCUUAAGUGUUUAUAGCCUCUUGCCUAUGCAGUCGGAGAGACUGAGGUCUGCAGCGUAGAUCCUUCGGGGCUAAAUGCAUUUGUGCUAAGUUAUAGCAUUUUAUAGACAACUUGUUGACUAUGAUUUGUCUUGUAGCUUACUCGCUUAUGUUAUUUUACCUACGCUUAGGAUGUUGAGCGCAUGUCUCUCUCU
rnacentral:rRNA from 1 species